rnacentral:rRNA from 1 species
UACAGAGGGGGCAAGCGUUAUUCGGAAUUAUUGGGCGUAAAGGGCGCGUAGGCGGCCUGGCAAGUGGAAGGUGAAAUCCCUCGGCUUAACCGAGGAACUGCCUUCCAAACUGCUUGGCUUGAGUCCGAGAGAGGUGAGUGGAAUUCCCAGUGUAGCGGUGAAAUGCGUAGAUAUCAAGUGGAACACCAGUGGCGAAGGCGAGUCUCUGGACAUUUCCUGACGCUGAGGCACGAAAGCCAGGGGAGCAAACGGG